AAAAGAACUGCCCUGGCCUGCUGGUAUCCAUUCUGGAAGCCUUCGAGGAGCUAGGUCUGGAAGUAUUGGAUGCUAAGGUUUCUUGCUCGGAUAAUUUCCGCCUCGAGGCCGUUAGUGAAAACGAAGGGCAAGAGGAUAACAUAGAUGCCCAGGUGGUUAAACAGGCAGUGUUACAGGCCAUCAGGAACUGGAGCGCAAGUAGUUAUGAACAAGAAUAACCUUUUCAGCAACAAGGUCAAUGUAAUUACCUGUGCUUUAUCCAUCUUCAACCCCAAAAAGGAAACGAUCAGAUCAGAUGUUCAACUUCGAGUGAGGGAAUGCCUGCCGUGAGUGAUGGUAUAGUUUGGCAGCAGCAGCAGCAGCGUAUAGGAUAAUGCAAUGGUGACAGAGCUUCUGAGGCCAGAGGCUGUACUCCUAUUAAAACACUCAGAAUUUGAUCGGUUGUAUUAAUUAGUGGCACGGUUUAUGUAAUUCCAACUCAGAAGGGUUGUCUUCAGUAAUGCUCCAGAGGUUAGUAAAUUUUCGAUC